GACGACGCUGGGCGGCGUGGAUUAGGCAUGCAAGUCGAACGGUAUCAUCCUUUCGGGGGUGAGAGAGUGGCGAACUGGUGAGUAACACGUAGGUUAUCUACCCUCAAGACGGGGACAACCCAGGGAAACUUGGGCUAAUACCGGAUGUGAGCAACUUUUAGUUGUUUGAAAGGUGGCGUAAGCUGUCGCUUGGGGAUGAGCCUGCGUCCUAUUAGUUAGUUGGUGAGGUAACGGCUCACCUAGGCAAUGAUAGGUAGGCGGCCUUAACGGGUGGUCGCCCACACUGGGAUUGAGAUACGGCCCAGACUCCUACGGGAGGCAGCAGUCGAGAAUAGUCUACAAUGGUCGGAAGACUGAUAGUGCGACGCCGCGUGAACGAUGAAUCCCUUCGGGGUGUAAAGUUCUUUUAUAUGUGAGCAGUGCUUCUUAUAUUAACAGUAUGGGGAGAGAGAUAUUAGCAUAUGAAUAAGCAACGACUAACUCCGUG
rnacentral:rRNA from 1 species